rfam:Felis catus isolate Cinnamon breed Abyssinian chromosome E3, whole genome shotgun sequence.
ACCCGGCUGGCUCAGUUGGUGGAGUGCGUGACUCUCGAUCUCAGGGUUGUGGGUUCAAAUCCCCCAUUGAGUA